rnacentral:rRNA from 1 species
UACAGAGGGUGCUAGCGUUGUUCGGAAUUACUGGGCGUAAAGGGCUCGUAGGCGGCCAACUAAGUCGGACGUGAAAUCCCUCGGCUUAACCGGGGAACUGCGUCCGAUACUGGAUGGCUUGAGUUCGGGAGAGGGAUGCGGAAUUCCAGGUGUAGCGGUGAAAUGCGUAGAUAUCUGGAGGAACACCGGUGGCGAAGGCGGCAUCCUGGACCGACACUGACGCUGAGGAGCGAAAGCCAGGGGAGCAAACGGG